rnacentral:rRNA from 1 species
CAGCAGCCGCGGUAAUACGGAGGGUGCAAGCGUUAAUCGGAAUUACUGGGCGUAAAGCGUGCGUAGGCGGUUCGUUAAGUCUGUUGUGAAAGCCCCGGGCUCAACCUGGGAAUGGCAAUGGAUACUGGCGAGCUAGAGUGUGUCAGAGGAUGGUGGAAUUCCCGGUGUAGCGGUGAAAUGCGUAGAGGUCGGGAGGAACAUCAGUGGCGAAGGCGGCCAUCUGGGACAACACUGACGCUGAGGCACGAAAGCGUGGGGAGCAAACAGGAUUAGAUACCCGUGUAGUCCCUGUCUCUUAUAU